ensembl:misc_RNA
ACGUCCUGAACGGAAGGAUCCCUUCUGGGAACUUCUCAGGAGGGGGACCUGGGCCAAGGGCUCGACCAGCAUCUCACUGGCAAUUCCAAGGCCCAUGGUGGGCUUC